AUUGAACGCUGGCGGCAUGCCUUACACAUGCAAGUCGAACGGCAGCACGGGAGCAAUCCUGGUGGCGAGUGGCGAACGGGUGAGUAAAGUAUCGGAACGUGCCCAGUCGUGGGGGAUAACGUAGCGAAAGUUACGCUAAUACCGCAUACGAUCUAUAGAUGAAAGCGGGGGAUCGCAAGACCUCGCGCGAUUGGAGCGGCCGAUAUCAGAUUAGGUAGUUGGUGGGGUAAAGGCUCACCAAGCCGACGAUCUGUAGCUGGCCUGAGAGGACGACCAGCCACACGGGGACUGAGACACGGCCCAGACUCCUACGGGAGGCAGCAGUGGGUAAUUUUGGACAAUGGGCGAAAGCCUGAUCCAGCCAUGCCGCGUGCAGGAUGAAGGCCUUCGGGUUGUAAACUGCUUUUGUACGGAACGAAAAGGUUUGGCCUAAUAAGCUGAGCUCAUGACGGUACCGUAAGAAUAAGCACCGGCUAACUACGUGCCAGCCGCCGCAGUAA
rnacentral:rRNA from 1 species